rnacentral:rRNA from 1 species
AUUGAACGCUGGCGGCAUGCCUUACACAUGCAAGUCGAACGGUAACAGGUCUUCGGAUGCUGACGAGUGGCGAACGGGUGAGUAAUACAUCGGAACGUGCCUAGUAGUGGGGGAUAACUACUCGAAAGAGUGGCUAAUACCGCAUGAGAUCUACGGAUGAAAGCAGGGGAUCGCAAGACCUUGUGCUACUAGAGCGGCCGAUGGCAGAUUAGGUAGUUGGUGGGAUAAAAGCUUACCAAGCCGACGAUCUGUAGCUGGUAUGAGAGGACGAUGAGCCACACUGGGACUGAGAAACGGCCCAGACUCCUACGGGAGGCAGCAGUGGGGAAUUUUGGACAAUGGGCGCAAGCCUGAUCCAGCAAUGCCGCGUGCAGGAUGAAGGCCUUCGGGUUGUAAACUGCUUUUGUACGGAACGAAAAGCCCUGGGUUAAUACCCUGGGGUCAUGACGGUACCGUAAGAAUAAGCACCGGCUAACUACGUGCCAGCAGCCGCAGUAAAAC